rnacentral:rRNA from 1 species
CAAUAGCGUAUAUUAAAGUUGUUGCGGUUAAAAAGCUCGUAGUUGGAUUUCUGCUGAGAACGACCGGUCCGCCCUCUGGGUGUGUAUCUGGCUCUUUCUUGGCAUCUUCUUGGUGAACGUUGCUGCACUUGACUGUGUGGAGCGCUACCCAGGACUUUUACUUUGAGGAAAUUAGAGUGUUUCAAGCAGGCAUACGCCUUGAAUACAUUAGCAUGGAAUAAUAAGAUAGGACCUCGGUUCUAUUUUGUUGGUUUCUAGAGCUGAGGUAAUGAUUAAUAGGGAUAGUUGGGGGCAUUCGUAUUUAACUGUCAGAGGUGAAAUUCUUGGAUUUAUGAAAGACGAACUUCUGCGAAAGCAUUUGCCAAGGAUGUUUUCAUUAA